GGAACGGUGGCUGAGUGGUCGAAAGCACUCCCUUGCUAAGGGAACGUAGCAGAAAUGCUACCGAGGGUUCGAAUCCCUCCCGUUCCGCCA
rnacentral:tRNA from 1 species